AUACGUAGGGGCCAAACGUUGUCCGGAUUUAUGGGGCGUAAAGGGCUCGUAGGCGGUUCAACAAGUCGAUCGUGAAAGCCCGGGGCUCAACCCCGGGACGCCGGUCGAAACUGUUGUGACUAGGGUCCGGUAGAGGUGAGUGGAAUUCUCGGUGUAGCGGUGGAAUGCGCAGAUAUCGAGAGGAACACCAGUUGCGAAGGCGGCUCACUGGGCCGGUACCGACGCUAAGGAGCGAAAGCGUGGGGAGCAAACAGGAUUAGAUACCCCGGUAGUCC
rnacentral:rRNA from 1 species